rnacentral:lncRNA from 1 species
GUGGAGGCUCUGAUAUAUACUCAAAAUUUGUUGCGGUCUUCCUUAAUUACAAUUAUGGAAUCGACAAAUCUCAUUAAAAAAUUUAAAGAAUUAAAAGUUGGUAAUUAAAUUUAAACUUUGAUUUUCAUUUUUAGCUUAUACAAUGAAUGCCUUAACUAUAUUCUUAUGUUCUGCUUUUAGCAUUUAUUGCAAAGGGAAUCCAAUUAG